rnacentral:lncRNA from 1 species
CAGUUUUUUAGUUUCCUCCAACUUCCUCCUUUAUUUCCUGCUCCCGGGACGGUGCUCGGGGCUUGUGGCGCGCUGCCGGGGGACAGCCCUCGGCCUCCGUGUGCCCCACCGGUUGACCUGGCGGCUCUGAACGCUACAUAUUUCCCUGCAUAUUUCUGUGUCGUUUUUGUGCCGUUCAGAGCACUUCGGCUGACGUGAAGGCCGUAUCACAACCUGCCCGUGGGUUUUGCAGCGUGAAGCUGAGGGUAGUGCCAUCGUAUUCCAGCCUAUCGAAAGUGCGAGAUGUACAAAUUAAGCCUAGACUGCCACACUGUAAAAUACUAGUGUUUGUCAGAGUGCCCUCCUCAAAUUAAUACAGGAGGAGCUUUUGUCUGAAAACCACGGAAAAUUUGUGCACUAGUGGAGAUGGCCUUACACGCGCAAUUAUAAAAAUAUCAGCUGGUCUAGCAGCUAGCUGCAGUGGAAAGAGGCCAAGAUGCUGUCUCUCCAAUGCCCUGGCAGUGCUGUGCCUUCACACUGUUUCCUUUGGUCUUCCACUGCCAGGAGACAGAAAAAUUCUUAUAAUGAAAAGAUUUCUGACAGGUUUUGGAUUCCUUAGCACAGACAAUGCAGACCGGCUAGCUGGCUUCGUUCAUCACAGAAUGGCAGUGGCUUUUUGGCCACCCUGGAGUUCGU